rnacentral:rRNA from 1 species
CCGGCCCACGGACGGUAUGACAAGUGAACCGCGCACGCGUUUACGCGCGUCCGGCCCGACGCAAGGCAACGUCGUCAUCGAWGUCCUGCCCGAGUGCGGACGUCGGUGCGGCGCGCCUGUCGUCGCUGCCGUGCAGUCUCGGACUGUGCGCGUCUCUGUCUGCGAUGAUUCAGUUUCGGGCACUCGCAGGACCCGUCUUGAAACACGGACCAAGGAGUCUAGCAUGUGUGCGAGUCAUUGAGAUAACAAAACUGAAAGGCGCAACGAAAGUGAAGGCGUGCGCUUGCCGCGCGCUCAGGGAGGAUGGAGCGUCGAUCUAGGUCGGCCUCUCGCACUCCCGAGGCGUCUCGUUUCCAAUCUGUGAAUGCAGGCGCGCUCUGAGCACAGAUGCUGGGACCCGAAAGAUGGUGAACUAUGCCUGGUCAGGUCGAAGUCAGGGGAAAGCCCUGAUGGAGGACCGUAGCGAUUCUGACGUGCAAAUCGAUCGUCGGAA